GUCUGUUUUUGAUCCAUGUGCGCAAUGGCAAAUUUCAGGUUAUUCGUCAAAUACCCAAGGUUUCUAUUUCUCUGAUUAAUGCAGUUUAUUUGACAGAUGUGUAAUGCUGUUUGUUGAAAAAUGCAUUAGAACCAAUGAUGGUAAGAUCUUGGCCUAGCAAAUUGGUAAAAUAUUACCUGCUCUUAAUUACUGAAUCAUAUUGUAGGAUAAAAUCUGCUGUUUAUGUAUGAAAAUUUGUACUUUAUCUCUGAUUAUGUGGUAUAUGCCCAGAAUUUCAUUAUUAAUGAUCGAUUCAUUAAAAUUAUUUUUAAUUGUCUACUUUGUUUUGUGUUGCUGCUGCUCAUUCUGCAUUUUUUUUUUUUUGGGGGGGGAGUAGAUAUAAAAAUUAAUUCUUGUUUUUUCUUUUUUUUCCCUCCAUGUCUCUUUUUAUUGUGCUAGUAAAUUUCUGACUGAACUCAUUUCAAGUUGAAUGUGGUAUUUUCUUUAGCUCAUGUAGAGAUUCAUCAAGUUUUUGCUGGUAAAUUUUUGACAAAAUUUCAAGUAAAUGUGCCGUUUUUACUUAGUUUGCAUAAAAAUUGUUCUUCUUUAUGCCUCUUUUGAAUAAAUAUGUCAAUUCUUGUUUGUAUUAUUUAAUAUCUUGUUUUGCAUAUUAAUACA